GAUCCUGGCUCAGAUUGAACGCUGGCGGCAUGCUUUACACAUGCAAGUCGGACGGCAGCACAGAGAAGCUUGCUUCUUGGGUGGCGAGUGGCGAACGGGUGAGUAAUAUAUCGGAACGUACCGAGUAGUGGGGGAUAACUGAUCGAAAGAUCAGCUAAUACCGCAUACGUCUUGAGAGGGAAAGCAGGGGACCUUCGGGCCUUGCGCUAUUCGAGCGGCCGAUAU
rnacentral:rRNA from 1 species